CCUACGGGAGGCAGCAGUGAGGAAUAUUGGUCAAUGGGCGCGAGCCUGAACCAGCCAAGUAGCGUGAAGGAUGACUGCCCUACGGGUUGUAAACUUCUUUUAUAAAGGAAUAAAGUGAGGCACGUGUGCCUUUUUGUAUGUACUUUAUGAAUAAGAAUCGGCUAACUCCGUGCCAUCAGCCGCGGUAAUACGGAGGAUCCGAGCGUUAUCCGGAUUUAUUGGGUUUAAAGGGAUAGUAGAUGGGUUGUUAAGUCAGUUGUGAAAUUUUGCGGCUCAACCGUAAAAUUGCAAGUGAUACUGGCAGUCUUGAGUACAGUUGAGGUAGGCGGAAUUCGUGGUGUAGCGGUGAAAUGCUUAGAUAUCACGAAGAACUCCGAUUGCGAAGGCAGCUUACUAAACUGCCACUGACAUUGAUGCUCGAAAGUGUGGGUAUCAAACAGGAUUCGAUACCCCAGUAGUC
rnacentral:rRNA from 1 species